rnacentral:lncRNA from 1 species
UUUAAGAAAAGAAUGAAGAAGCCUCAUUAGAGAAAAGUUAAAAGUAUUCCUGGAUUCCUCUGGGCUGCAGAAAGAGUAAGCAGGAAAUUGGAGGAGAGCACAUCAACCACACCAAAGGAGUUUCUGAAGGAUGACUGUUGCCUUAAUGAUUGGAGCAGUGGCUGCCAAUUCGCUAAUGGUUGGAACAUGUAAUUAGAACUUGAGAACUUAGCUCUGGUCAUGACUGUACCACUUACCACGGCCUUGAACACAUCCACUCUUUUGGGAGAAAGGCACUGUGCUCUGUGCUUAGGAGCUUGAGAUGUAGAGCCAGACUGCCUGGGUUCAAAUCCCACUUCUGCCACUGACUAGCUACAUGUUUUGGG